CUCGCGGCUCCCCAGCGCGUGCACUUCGCUCGUUUGGCCCGAGCCCGGGGUGCGGGUGCGGGUGCGGGUGCGGGAACCGUAAGUCGGUGUGUGCGGGGAGGAAAAAUGUUUAUUAUUAAUAAUCAACGUUAGGAACCCCAGGACCAAGGAGCGUCCAGGGCCAGUGGAACAGCAAGCCUCGCCUCGGACACCGCGGCGGGAUCUGAGCGCGUUUUCCGUGCCGACACUAAGCCAAGCCCUUGAACACGUUGUUGCUGUCAUCUCCCCGACUUGCCGAGAAUCCAGGGGGUUGGUCCCGCUGCUCCCCGGAUUCUUCAGCGGCGGCGGCUCCCUCCAGAGCCGACAGGCUUCUUCCGGGGGAGCCCGGGUUUGCCACCCUCCCCUGGGGAACGGCCCAGAGGCAGCCUCUCCGCAGACGGUCUGCAGUCGUUACAAGGGCGGCUGCCAGGCUAGCGCGGAGCAGCCUCAGGAUGGUACAUUCCCUCAGUAGCAAGCACUGGGGGCAGCGUGGAACAUGGCGGGGUGGGCAAUGCGCCCCGGCAGCCCUGAUGGGCCCCAACGAGAGCGGGACUGCAGCGGGAUGAUGGAGCAAAUGAGCAGGUGGCGCCAGGCCAAGAAAGCACGUUCUAACCUGGCCGGGAGUUCCGAGAACUGCCUGUCAUUAUGGAGAGAUUUACAACCUCUUGGCUGAAACCUCCCGGAGGCAUCUGCUCUUUACAGCCCCAGCCCCCAUUGCCUAUAAUCUGGUCCCGGGCACCCAGAGGCACCCACCCUCUGUGACCCCCUCCCCCCAGCCUACGUGACUGGUAACCUGUAAUGAUCAUCCUGUGCCUACUUCCCCAGGCCUGUCAUUCCUCCUUUCCCCCGUCAUCUUUGUCCUACCCCGUGUCGGCAGCUGGGUUAUGGGGAGAGGCAGAGCAGAUGUUUGUGGGUGACCUGCUGCUCUCCCAUACAGCCGGCAUUAUUGGAAUAAACGCUCGUCUAUGAUUCAACCCUGUCUCUGCUGAAUUGGCUGAAGUGGUGACAGGCAGCCCAGACCGCUUGCUUGUCCGGUUAUAGUACUACCAAAAUAUGGGCCCGUUAAAAAAAAAAAAAGUGUGUCUGUAGGCAUGAGUAACAGCUUUGAGAGGGUAUACACCAAUGUGUUAGUGGUUGUUAUCUCUGGGUGAUGAGGACUUUUAAAAAUUUCUUUUUUCUGCUUAUGUUUAUUUUAUAAAUUUUCAAUUGUUUGUGUGUUGCUUUUCCAACAAGUAAAGUCACUUUUAUUCUAAAAAUAAUCAUAGCUCUUCUUUAUUAAAUAUAUUGUUAUAAUAAUGUAACCCCUCUAGUGUAUGAAAUAAUUACUGUGUGAAAUGUUUGCUGUAUGGAAACCCCCAAUACUCUGUAACUUCCAAAAUUAAUGAACACCCCACUAUCUUGAUGUAAAAGCUCUGAGCCCUCAAAGUGUAAACGCCCUGCUCCCAGCAUAAGGCACACCGUCUGGCCCACACGGACAAGGACACAAGCUGUUUACCGCGGUCUAUAUAACCCUGAGACCAUCUUCAGUGGAGGCCUCCUGGCCUGUAAGAGGAGGACUCCACGUCGCUCCGAGAGACGAGCCCCUGACUGCUCUGCUGUGUGAGCCUGAACCAACUGCGGCCGCCUGCCUGUCUCUGUUUUCGUCGUCUGUCCUUCAGUGUGCACUGCUGGGUGGCCUUUGCUGGAGCCUAGGACCCACUAGGAAUAGGUAAAUAAACCCU